GCUGGGAUAGCUCAGUUGGUAGAGCAUGAGACUCUUAUUCUUAUGGUUGUGGGUUCAAGUUCCACGUUGGGCA